rnacentral:rRNA from 1 species
CGAGCGGUAACAGGGGGUGCUUGCACCCCGCUGACGAGCGGCGGACGGGUGAGUAAUGCAUAGGAAACUGCCCAGUAGUGGGGGAUAGCCCGGGGAAACCCGGAUUAAUACCGCGUACGCCCUUCGGGGGAAAGCAGGGGAUCUUCGGACCUUGCGCUAUUGGAUGUGCCUAUGUCGGAUUAGCUAGUUGGUGGGGUAAAGGCCUACCAAGGCGACGAUCCGUAGCUGGUCUGAGAGGAUGAUCAGCCACAUCGGGACUGAGACACGGCCCGAACUCCUACGGGAGGCAGCAGUGGGGAAUAUUGGACCAUGGGGGCAACCCUGAUCCAGCCAUGCCGCGUGUGUGAAGAAGGCUUUCGGGUUGUAAAGCACUUUCCGUGAGGAGGAAAAGUUGGUCGUUAAUACCGGCCAGCCUUGACGUUACUCACAGAAGAAGCACCGGCUAACUCCGUGCCAGCAGCCGCGGUAAUACCGAGGGUGCAAGCGUUAAUCUGAAUUACUGGGCGUAAAGCGCGCGUACGUGGUUUGAUAAGCGCGAUGUGAAAGCCCCGGGCUUAACCUGGGAACGGCUUUCCGAACUGUCAUGCUAGAGUAUGGUAGAGGAGUGUGGAAUUUCCUGUGUAGCGGUGAAAUGCGUAAAUCU